CGCAUCGCAUGGAGACGUCUGACGGAGCACGCCGCGUGAGUGAUGAAGGUUUUCGGAUCGUAAAGCUCUGUUGUUGGGGAAGAACAAGUGCCGUUCGAAUAGGGCGGUACCUUGACGGUACCUAGCCAGAAAGCCACGGCUAACUACGUGCCAGCAGCCGCGGUAAUACGUAGGUGGCAAGCGUUGUCCGGAAUUAUUGGGCGUAAAGGGCUCGCAGGCGGUUUCUUAAGUCUGAUGUGAAAGCCCCCGGCUCAACCGGGGAGGGUCAUUGGAAACUGGGAAACUUGAGUGCAGAAGAGGAGAGUGGAAUUCCACGUGUAGCGGUGAAAUGCGUAGAGAUGUGGAGGAACACCAGUGGCGAAGGCGACUCUCUGGUCUGUAACUGACGCUGAGGAGCGAAAGCGUGGGGAGCGAACAGGAUUAGAUACCCUGGUAGUCCACGCCGUAAACGAUGAGUGCUAAGUGUUAGAGGGUUUCCGCCCCUUAGUGCUGCAGCUAACGCAUUAAGCACUCCGCCUGGGGAGUACGGUCGCAAGACUGAAACUCAAAAUUUUUUGCGGG
rnacentral:rRNA from 1 species